rnacentral:lncRNA from 1 species
UUGCGGGGUUUGCGGUUGAUGGCCCCGACUGAAGGGCUGGAGGCGGUGUAUGCCGCUGUUCUUGCUGUCGCUCCCGACACCUCCGUCCGCUUCUGGUCAUGAGAGGAGACAGAGGCCUGAAGCAAAGACAUCUGGGUCAGAGAAAAAGUAUUUAAGGGCCAUGCAAGCCAAUCGUAGCCAACUGCACAGUCCUCCAGGAACUGGAAGCAGUGAGGAUGCCUCAACCCCUCAGUGUGUCCACACAAGAUUGACAGGAGAGGGUUCUUGCCCUCAUUCUGGAGAUGUUCAUAUCCAGAUAAACUCCAUACCUAAAGAAUGUGCAGAAAAUGCAAGCUCCAGAAAUAUAAGGUCAGGUGUCCAUAGCUGUGCCCAUGGAUGUGUACACAGUCGCUUACGGGGUCACUCCCACAGUGAAGCAAGGCUGACUGAUGAUACUGCCGCAGAAUCUGGAGAUCAUGGUAGUAGCUCCUUCUCAGAAUUCCGCUAUCUCUUCAAGUGGCUGCAAAAAAGUCUUCCAUAUAUUUUGAUUCUGAGCGUCAAACUUGUUAUGCAGCAUAUAACAGGAAUUUCUCUUGGAAUUGGGCUGCUAACAACUUUUAUGUAUGCAAACAAAAGCAUUGUAAAUCAGGUUUUUCUAAGAGAAAGGUCCUCAAAGAUUCAGUGUGCUUGGUUACUGGUAUUCUUAGCAGGAUCUUCUGUUCUUUUAUAUUACACCUUUCAUUCUCAGUCACUUUAUUACAGGUAAUUAGAGGUCCAAAUACACAAUUACAUUUUUAAUGUAAUCAUAUAUUUCAUAGCACUUUGUAUCUUACUUCACAUAGUACUUAUUGUAUUCAGUUCAGUUCAGUUUUUAACUUUCUCCUUUCAUAAGCGAGAGCUUUUUUUUUUUUUUUCUUUUUGAGACGGAGUCUCACUCUCUCGCCCAGCCUGGAGUGCAGUGUCUUGAUCUUGGCUCACUGCAACCUUUGCCUCUCAGGUUCAAGCAAUUCUCCCGUCUAAGCCUCCUGAGUAGCUGGGAUUACAGGCACACGCCACCACGCCUGGCAAAUUUUUGUAUUUUUAAUAGAGACGGAGUUUCACCAUGUUGGUCAGACCUCCUGACCUCGUGAUCUGCCUGCCUCCACCUCCUAAAGUGCUGGGAUUACAGGUGUGAGCCACUGCACCCAGCCUCAUAAGUGAGAGCUUUAAGUGACUUACUCAGAUUUUGUAUCCCCAGUGCCUUGGCACAUAACAGAUGCUCAAUAAAUAUUUAAUUUUUUGAUACCUGAGUUUUUGUUUACAUAUUUCGUAUUUUUAAAGUACCAUUAGGUUGUUAUUAUUGGUCGUUGUUUCUGAAAGUAAGAACACUUACUAAAUGACAGUAGCUGAUAAGUCUCCAUGUCAAAUGGGAGUAUUCUGAAUUUUCAGCUUUUAUUAGAAUAUUAG